rnacentral:rRNA from 1 species
CCCGACUGCUAUCAGAGUGGGACUAAGCCAUGCGAGUCGACAUAGCAAUAUGUGGCAUACGGCUCAGUAACACGUAGUCAACAUGCCCAGGGGACGUGGAUAACCUCGGGAAACUGAGGAUAAACCGCGAUAGGUCAUCACUUCUGGAAUGGGUAAUGACUUAAACCUAUAUGGCCCCUGGAUUGGACUGCGGCCGAUCAGGCUGUUGGUGAGGUAAUGGCCCACCAAACCUGUAACCGGUACGGGCUCUGAGAGGAGGAGCCCGGAGAUGGGCACUGAGACAAGGGCCCAGGCCCUAUGGGGCGCAGCAGGCGCGAAACCUCUGCAAUAGGCGAAAGCUUGACAGGGUUACUCUGAGUGAUUUCCGUUAAGGAGAUCUUUUGGCACCUCUAAAAAUGGUGCAGAAUAAGGGGUGGGCAAGUCUGGUGUCAGCCGCCGCGGUAAUACCAGCACCCCGAGUGGUCGGGACGUUUAUUGGGCCUAAAGCAUCCGUAGCCGGUUCUACAAGUCUUCCGUUAAAUCCACCUGCUUAACAGAUGGGCUGCGGAAGAUACUAUAGAGCUAGGAGGCGGGAGAGGCAAGCGGUACUCGAUGGGUAGGGGUAAAAUCCGUUGAUCCAUUGAAGACCACCAGUGGCGAAGGCGGCUUGCCAGAACGCGCUCGACGGUGAGGGAUGAAAGCUGGGGGAGCAAACCGGAUUAGAUACCCGGGUAGUCCCAGCUGUAAACGAUGCAGACUCGGUGAUGAGUUGGCUUAUUGCUAACUCAGUGCCGCAGGGAAGCCGUUAAGUUUGCCGCCUGGGGAGUACGGUCGCAAGACUGAAACUUAAAGGAAUUGGCGGGGGAGCACCACAAGGGGUGAAGCCUGCGGUUCAAUUGGAGUCAACGCCGGAAAUCUUACCGGGGGCGACAGCAGAGUGAAGGUCAAGCUGAAGACUUUACCAGACAAGCUGAGAGGAGGUGCAUGGCCGUCGCCAGCUCGUGCCGUGAGGUGUCCUGUUAAGUCAGGUAACGAGCGAGAUCCCUGCCUCUAGUUGCUACCAUUAUUCUCAGGAGUAGUGGAGCUAAUUAGAGGGACCGCCGUCGCUAAGACGGAGGAAGGUGGGGGCUACGGCAGGUCAGUAUGCCCCGAAACCCUCGGGCCACACGCGGGCUGCAAUGGUAAGGACAAUAAGUUCCGAGUCCGAAAGGAGGAGGUAAUCUCGAAACCUUACCUCAGUUAUGAUUGAGGGCUGCAACUCGCCCUCAUGAAUAUGGAAUCCCUAGUAAUCGCGUGUCACAAUCGCGCGGUGAAUACGUCCCUGCUCCU